AUCAAAACAUACUAAGAAGCAAUGAGGGGAUUGUGCAAUCACGUGACUAGCAUGUGAUUGUUGAGAUGUUUCUAAAUUGCGGACUGAGAAAUACGGAUUAGGAGUCAAUGACAGUGACUUUGAUAGUGACGAACCAGCCCCACCCUUGCCAACCCUUCUCCAAGCCACCAAGACCUUGGGUGCGUUCACAAGAUUUGUGGAUUCGAGAGAUGGAGGGCGGCUGUUACAAGCACUUGUCAUGUAUCAAGAUGUCCGGGAUAGAUAUACUCCGUAAGGCUUUCCGCCGAUCGAGAGGGAUCGACCCUGACAUGCCGUCUGCGAAUCUGGACUUUUGACAUCUGAGUGUUUUGGGAGAGUGACAUGCCGCCCGUGAAUCUGGACUUUUGACAUCUGAGUGUUUUGGGAGAGUGACAUGCCGCCCGUGAAUCUGGACUUUUGACAUCUGAGUGUUUUGGGAGAGUGACAUGCCGCCCGUGAAUCUGGACUUUUGACAUCUGAGUGUUUUGGGAGAGUGACAUGCCUCCCGUGAAUCGGGACUUUUGACAUCCGAGUAUUCAGGGAGAGUGACAUGCCGCCCGUGAAUCUGGACUUAUGACAUCUGAGUGUUUAGGGAGAGUGACAUGCCCCAUCCAUUAAGGCUGUCCCAACCGAUCAACAUAGACCAUACCGGCAGGCCGCCUACUGUGUAAACUGCACAGGAUAAAGUAAAGUAUGCGUUGGAUGUAGUUGGUCUGUAUAUUCCAUUUAAUGUAUAUAUCAUAUCAUAUGAACUGUUGUGUGUUUCAUUAGAAAGGCCUUUGUAAUGGUGUUACAUUUGGAGCGUUGAUGUGAGUGUAUGUGAAUGGUGAGGUAUGAGGUACGUACUUGGCUAAGUAGGG